AUUGAACGCUGGCGGCAGGCCUAACACAUGCAAGUCGAACGAGUGGCGGACGGGUGAGUAAUGUCUGGGAAACUGCCCGAUGGAGGGGGAUAACUACUGGAAACGGUCGCUAAUACCGCAUACCAUCGGAUGUGCCCAGAUGGGCUUAGCUGGUUGGUGGGGUAACGGCUCACCUAGGCGACGAUCCCUAGCUGGUCUGAGAGGAUGACCAGCCACACUGGAACUGAGACACGGGCCAGACUCCUACGGGAGGCAGCAGUGGGGAAUAUUGCACAAUGGGCGCAAGCCUGAUGCAGCCAUGCCGCGUGUAUGAAGAAGGCCUUCGGGUUGUAAAGUACUUUCAGCGGGGAGGCGGUACCCGCAGAAGAAGCACCGGCUAACUCCGUGCCAGCAGCCGCGGUAAUAC
rnacentral:rRNA from 1 species